UCUCGUGGUGUGACGGGCGGUGUGUACAAGGCCCGGGAACGUAUUCACCGCGGCNNNCUGAUCCGCGAUUACUAGCGAUUCCANCUUCACGCAGUCGAGUUGCAGACUGCGAUCCGAACUGANNACAGAUUUAUGGGAUUGGCUAAACCUUGCGGUCUCGCAGCCCUUUGUUCUGUCCAUUGUAGCACGUGUGUAGCCCAGGUCAUAAGGGGCAUGAUGAUUUGACGUCAUCCCCACCUUCCUCCGGUUUGUCACCGGCAGUCACCUUAGAGUGCCCAACUAAAUGCUGGCAACUAAGAUCAAGGGUUGCGCUCGUUGCGGGACUUAACCCAACAUCUCACGACACGAGCUGACGACAACCAUGCACCACCUGUCACUCUGUCCCCGAAGGGAAAGCCCUAUCUCUAGGGUUGUCAGAGGAUGUCAAGACCUGGUAAGGUUCUUCGCGUUGCUUCGAAUUAAACCACAUGCUCCACCGCUUGUGCGGGCCCCCGUCAAUUCCUUUGAGUUUCAGUCUUGCGACCGUACUCCCCAGGCGGAGUGCUUAAUGCGUUAGCUGCAGCACUAAGGGGCGGAAACCCCCUAACACUUAGCACUCAUCGUUUACGGCGUGGACUACCAGGGUAUCUAAUCCUGUUCGCUCCCCACGCUUUCGCUCCUCAGCGUCAGUUACAGACCAGAGAGUCGCCUUCGCCACUGGUGUUCCUCCACAUCUCUACGCAUUUCACCGCUACACGUGGAAUUCCACUCUCCUCUUCUGCACUCAAGUUUCCCAGUUUCCAAUGACCCUCCCCGGUUGAGCCGGGGGCUUUCACAUCAGACUUAAGAAACCGCCUGCGAGCCCUUUACGCCCAAUAAUUCCGGACAACGCUUGCCACCUACGUAUUACCGCGGCUGCUGGCACGUAGUUAGCCGUGGCUUUCUGGUUAGGUACCGUCAAGGUGCGAGCAGUUACUCUCGCACUUGUUCUUCCCUAACAACAG
rnacentral:rRNA from 1 species